rnacentral:rRNA from 1 species
UACGUAGGGGGCAAGCGUUGUCCGGAAUCAUUGGGCGUAAAGCGCGCGUAGGCGGCCCUGUAAGUCCGUUGUGAAAUCUCGAGGCUCAACUUCGAGCUGUCGGUGGAAACUGUCUGGCUAGAGUCCGGAAGAGGAGAAUGGAAUUCCUGGUGUAGCGGUGAAAUGCGCAGAUAUCAGGAAGAACACCCGUGGCGAAGGCGGUUCUCUGGGACGGUACUGACGCUGAGACGCGAAAGCGUGGGGAGCGAACAGG